AUUGAACGCUGGCGGCAGGCCUAACACAUGCAAGUCGAGCGAGCGGCGGACGGGUGAGUAAUGUCUGGGAAACUGCCUGAUGGAGGGGGAUAACUACUGGAAACGGUGGCUAAUACCGCAUACCAUCAGAUGUGCCCAGAUGGGAUUAGCUAGUAGGUGGGGUAAUGGCUCACCUAGGCGACGAUCCCUAGCUGGUCUGAGAGGAUGAUCAGCCACACUGGGACGGAGACACGGCCCAGACUCCUACGGGAGGCAGCAGUGGGGAAUAUUGCACAAUGGGCGCAAGCCUGAUGCAGCCAUGCCGCGUGUAUGAAGAAGGCCCUAGGGUUGUAAAGUACUUUCAGCCGGGAGGCGUUACCCACAGAAGAAGCACCGGCUAACUCCGUGCCAGCAGCCGCGGUAAUAC
rnacentral:rRNA from 1 species